AUUUCAUCAAUUUUCAUGCUUAUUCGAGGUCCAAUGUCAUACUGUGGAAUCACUUGUGAAUAUUUUAACUGAAGUUGUUGUUUCUAACGAAGUCAGUCCAAUCUGCUUCCCGUCAUACAGCUCAAUUCAAUGAAUAAGUUAAAUUUGAUAGAGAGCCUAAUGAUUGAGAAUGACUGUAACAUCAUUUGCACUUCUCUGAUAUGUUCAUAGUUUCCUCCAAAAGUCUCAUUUUCAUCACCAAUCAUCUGUCCUUUGUUAUUUUUCUCAAAGGAAUAACCUCUCCUAGUACUGGUUUUGAAUCAAUUUUUGUAUUCUUAAACUUCAUGUAUAUACUCUUGAUUUCUUAUGUUGCAG
rnacentral:misc_RNA from 1 species